AGGAGGUGAUAAGGGGCCAAAGAAAGGAGAGAGAGAGAGAGAGGUGGAAAAGACCUGAAGUAGAGAGCAAGCCACAAGUUGGUCCCGGUCACUUCCAUCUUCCCCUUUCAAGCACCACGUCACAGCUUAGCGCCUAAUUGCUCCCUAAAGCCUGUAGCCCUCCAGGGUACAGCUGACACAGCGCGACUUAAAUCAAUUAGUGGGAGGCUGGAGGAGAUAAAGACCCCAGCCAGAUCCAAGGACUCUAACCAGAGCCUUUAGGGUUGAUCAGUUGUGUUCCAAGGCUUACCAGGUUAUCUAAAGUAUGAACGAGACCAACCUAGCAAAGCGCUCUUCUCCCCGCCCCCCUUCUCAAUAGGGGUGAGGAGUUCAGCCUUCCCAGCAGAAAGCCAGCUCAUCGACGGACUUGAUGCCUGGCCCUCUGCACCAGCGGGAGCCACGGGACCAUUGUGGAGCCUUGCUAUACCAGACAGCUCUCUCUGGCAGUGAUAAAGGCAGACAGCUGGCACGGGAGGGAGCCUAAAAUAACCCAGACAGCUGGGCAAGGGGGUGUCACGGGCCCAGGUUCUGGGCUGAAAAUCAAGACACCUGGAACCCUGUCCAGGCUCUGCUCCGUGGUGGCCUCAUAACCUUGGGUGAGACAUUUCUUCUCUUGGGGCUAUUGGUGGGUGGCCCUUAAAUCCCGACCCAACCACAGGACAGCCUACGGAGCCCCGGGAACAGCCUGGACUCAAACACUAGAAGAAAAACAGGGCUGGCUGCCUUCCCAAGCAAAGCCAGUUUUCUUUCUCCUUUGCCUGGAGGCUCCAGCACGUGCUUCAGGAAGUGGGCUGGCGGGGAGGAGCCCUGGAGACAGCCCAGCCCCCACCGGCGCAGGCAGCAACCACUCCCAGCAACAAUCCUUAUCACAAUGGAGGCCAACUGGUUGUGAGGUCAGAGCAGGAGUCUGGCCCUCUUAAUCUCACUUAAUCCUCCCACCAACCUUUUCCAGCAGGUAUUGUGGUCUUUUUAACCCGGGGAGGGGGAAGAGAGGCAAUGGUCCAAGGUCACUAGCUAGGUCCACAUCUAACCUACAGCUGCCAGACUAGAAGCACCCUGAUUAGGCACCAAUCUGCCUCCAGCAACAACUCAGGGAAGCCUUCCAGGCUCCCCGACUCACACGUCAGCACUCACUGUAGGGGUGAGGAGAAAAGAGAAGACUAGAGGCUGGAAGCUGAGGCCCAAAUAGGGGAAGCCAGCAGGAGCCGCGGCACCUGAGGCCAAAUGGCUUAUCAAAGUAACAAAACGAGAAACACACUAGGGGGCCAGGGGUCAGGGAUCAAGGGCCACACCAGUUUCAGCAGCAAAGCUUCCUGCCUAGGAGGAGGGCAAGCCAACUGCUAGCCACCAAGCUGGGUGACAUCCCAGGUGCCACCUACUAGAGAGAGUCUAGAAACUUGGUGCUACCUGGAACCUUGUAAGAAGAGCAAGUUCUUAGAUGUAACUGCCUAAGAGGGAAACUCGAGAAAUGGGCACAGUCGGGUUUAAUGGGUCCAACCACUGACUUCUGAUGCCGGUGCAGCUGGGGAGACCCUGCUCAGAGACUAAGCACAGACCUCAUUGACUCUGUAAGAUCACUACAGACAGGUGAAGGGCCAGCCUCCGUUUGUGUCACGUUCUAGAAGCCAGGCUACCGACACCUGGCCUUGUUGAGAGCUCGGAUCCAGGAAAAGGAGAAGCCAAGGAAAUCUUUUCUCUCGGGAAGCUGGCUACCACUUCACAUCUUUUGCUUCUUUGUCUAUCCAGCAAGGCAGACAUCAGAAGGGGGCUCAGCUGGUCCCCCUAAUGGGGUUCAGGAACAAUGUCUGAAGCACCACUGGGAAACCUGGCAGCAGUCACCGUCUUCAGAAGUUUCCAGGGCCCUCCCAGCCACCAUAAACCACACCACUGGGAAAUA
ensembl:lincRNA Gm38102 predicted gene, 38102